rnacentral:rRNA from 1 species
GCAGCGAUUUCUUUCUGGCCUGCUUUGAUCUGAGUGUCUUACAGGUUGUUGGGUUAUGAGAGCUGGGGAGUGAUGUGAUAAAUAGUUCGUGCUGUUCUAUAGCUAGUUUGUUGUUUUCUUUUUCAUUUGUACUCCCUUUGUCUGGAUAUGAGGGGGGGGAUUAGAGGCAGUUUGUUUUUUUGGGCUGGAUUUGGGUUGAGAGUACCUCGGUUUUCUUGGUGUGUUAAAACUAGUUUAGUUCUUUAGUUGCCUUUGUUUGAGUUUACAACUUUUUAAUUAUGUUUUUGAAGUAUGGUGGAAUAAGUAGUUUGAUUAGUUCUUUUUUUUCUUGGAUUCCCUCGAUCUGUUUAUUAAAAACAUUUCCAUUAUUAAGGUUUGAUGGUAGUGCCUGCCCAAUGCUUUAUGGUGAAUGGCCGCAGUAUUUUGACUGUGCUAAGGUAGCAUAAUUAGUUGUCCUAUAAUUGAGGAAUUGUUUGAAAGGUUUGAUUAGGGGGAGGGUUUAUUUUCUAGAUGAGAAUUUUCUUUGAAUUUGGUUUUUUGGUGCAGAACCCAAAGGUGGUGAGCAAGACGGAAAGACCCCGAGAGCUUGAAUUUAUUUUUUUACUUGGGGAGGGGGUAUAUGUUUCAUGUAUUUUUUGAUCCUCUGCGGAUUGUAGGGAUAAGUUACCUCGGGGAUAACUAGGUAAGAAGCAAGGAGAGGUCAUAUUGAUUUGCUUGGUUGCCAUCUCGAUGUUGGCUUGGGGAAGCAAGGAGGCGCAGCAGUUUCUUUGUGGGGUCUGUUCGACCAUAGUUCCUCAUGAGUUGAGUUAAGACCGGUGUAAGCCAGGUCGGUUCUUAUCUACUUGGGCUGUGUUCUAGUACGAAAGGAUUGUUCAUGGUUUAUGUUUA